rnacentral:lncRNA from 1 species
UGCAUUCUUUUUCUCUGUUUAGAUAGAUCAUCAAAUUCCCCUUUCCCAAGAUUGUUUCUCAUCGUCAAAAAGUUUUCAACCUUGCUUAAUUGCUUCUUGUAGCCCAUUGAUAUACAUUUGUAAACACACCUUCAAACAACCCCAUCCUUGAUAACCGAUUAUCACCUCCACCAUUGGUCAUGGCUACCUGAGCUAAUUACGGCCCCUCUCUUAUUCAUAUUCGUAGCCCCUACCAUAGUUCACAAACAAAACCCCA